UUCUAGGUGGUGAACACUCUCAUUCACACGAUCUUGAUGUGGACCAUGCUCAUUCUCAUGUUCAUUUUGGACAUGAGCAUUCACGUCUCUUAAACAUGCACUUCCUUAAAAGAUCUGUUGGUUUGUCCGUUUUGGAGAAAAACUAGCAGUGGUGCUGGAAAAGAUAACAUUUCAGAUGCUCCAAAUGGCUCCACUCACCAUAUAAAAUCCGUGGUCGAAAAAGAACUUUCUCAUUCUCCAUCAAAUCUUGUGUUUGGUUACCUUAACCUCUUCUCCGAUGGUGUACACAAUUUUAC